GAUUGACAGAUAAAGAUAUGGAUGAAUGGAGUUGUGUUAAGUCCCUGGCAAGUGUACCAGAUCGUUAUCAAGUAAUAUAAAUGGGUAAGUCCAAGUAUCGUUUCCCAAAGGACUCUUAGGCCUUACUUUUCAUGUAAACCAAUCGCAAAAACAAAAGUAAACAUGCAAAUGCAGUGAUUCAAUUAGCAAGGAAAAACUAUGAAUGAAUGGUGUUGUUGGGGUUUACAAUUUCAUCUUAUCCACCCUCAUAUAUCUACUCUUCUUAUUUAAUUAGCUUAUUUAUCAUAUUGUCAUGCAAACUUUCUUAGUCUACCCUUAANCNAAUCCCUUGGUGAAAAGAGCCUAUUACUAAUUACUGGCUUGCUAUCCCUAGCCUCCCCUAGUAAUUAAUAAUGCAUGAUAAGCGGAAGCAAAAUAC
rnacentral:lncRNA from 1 species